rnacentral:tRNA from 1 species
ACCGAACUGUUGAAAUGGUAAACAAUCAAGAUUUAGAAUCUUGUGCUAACGCUUAGGAGUUCAAAUCUCCUGUUCGGUA